CACGCUAAAACACACGCGACUUAUAGAGCCCGGGCUCUGUAGAGACUUCCAGUUCGGGCUGGGGUGAUGGGUUGAAAAAGCGAGAAGCGUUACCUAGCUGAAAGCAAGCUGUUUUAUUCUUGGGAAAAUGCAAAGCCUUGGUGAACAAUAAGAGUUCUCAGUACAGCCCUGCGGGAUUGAAAAGAGACAGACCCUUGGGCUGACUGAAGCAAAGACCAGGGAGGCACUCUUAAAGGAACAGGGCAAACCUGCCUGUGGGAAGCGAUUGUGGACACAGCAAAAACCAGCAUCGGGUUAUUGUGUGUCAACUGUGGAUUUCUUCACCUCUCAAGUCUCACCCCGCCCCCGCCCGAUUUUCACGAUGUAUAAAAUGGAGGGCUUUUUGUAUGAUGGCGACUUUUAAAAGUGCAGGCUGUGGUGACUGUGGCUUGGAUGGCCUUGAGGACCACUGGUCGACCUCUCAUCAGCUGGACAGCACAGGUUGGUUCCACUGAUGUAGAUCAACUUCUGUGCAGACUACUGAUGUCU